rnacentral:rRNA from 1 species
UACAGAGGGUGCGAGCGUUGUCCGGAAUCACUGGGCGUAAAGGGCGCGUAGGCGGCCUCCAAAGCGUGCGGUGAAAGCCUGGGGCUCAACUCCAGGUCGGCCGUGCGAACUGGGAGGCUAGAGCUCGGUAGAGGCAGGUGGAAUUCCGGGUGUAGCGGUGGAAUGCGUAGAGAUCCGGAAGAACACCGGUGGCGCAGGCGGCCUGCUGGGCCGAUGCUGACGCUGAUGCGCGACAGCGUGGGGAGCAAACAGGAUUAGAAACCCCAGUAGUCC